rnacentral:lncRNA from 1 species
UUUUAAGGAAAUGUGAUUUUAUUAAUAUUCCUCCUUUAAAAAAGAGAGAAAAAAUAACUUGAUGUAAUCAAAUCAAAUGUUAGCAUAUUUUUGUUUUUGAAAAUUUCUUACUAAGAGAAUUGCUGAGUUAAAGUUGCAGGUGUGUGCAAGUGUUGGGAAGAAGCGCUGAUUCCAGGGCAGAGUGGCUGUGCUCCUUCCUCAUCUCCACUCACAGAAAUGCCAUCUUUUAUCUACUCAGAACUGACAUGGAGAUUCAGGUCAGCAGCCAGAGACUGUAAGCAUAUUGCAGUGGAUAUCCCUGCCUAGUCCGGAUUCUUUUUGCAACUUGUCUGCGAGGCAAGGAGGGAUACAGAUGUGCGAGUGAGGGGAAGUCCGCAGGAAGCCGGGUGAGGCAGGCUCAUCCCUCAUCACUCCGUGCGCACAGAGCAGCUCAGGCUCUCUCACUGGCAAUAGCAAGAGGAGUUAACUAACGUGCUGGGAGUAGGUGACGGCCCAUGGGACCACGACUGAAUGCAUUUGUACCUCUACAGGACUUCUUCCCUUUGGAAAGCAGUGUGGUGGCAGUGUCACAGGCAUCCUGUGUGUUUGCAGCAGGUUCCUUCCAGAAGCAGCUGAGGAAGACAGCAAGCAAGUGGCAUUUGGGGUCUUGUAUCAUGUUGGAACACAGCCGUAGUACAUAGACUUCCUGAAAAAAAGACUUCCAGGUAAAAACAUAUUGUGGACACGGUAACAAAUUGGAGAGGGUCAAGCAUCAGGAACACAUGUUCCCUUUUGGCUUCAA